GUGAUAAUUAUGUAUUGGAUAUGUCCACACAGUGAGCAAAAAAAGUAAGAGAACAUACUCAAGAGAGGAAGAAAUCAUAUAUUGUAUUAAAUUGUUGGAUUACAAUAGUGGAUAUUACAUGAGGAACAUCAUCCCAAUGUGAUGCAUAAUCUAAAUAUUUUGUUGAUAUCCCUACAACUUAACCGAGGGACAUCAUCCAACAGGAGCAACAUCCCUACAACUUAACCAAAACAGAAGGCAUCCAUCAUCAUCAUCAUGAACCGGAUCAUCAUCAUCAUCAUGAACCAGAUCAUCAUCAUUGCAGUAUACUUGCCACACACCCAUAUAAUCAUCCAUAUAUAUUCUGAAUCUACAAAGAAAAUAACAAAAUGAACUAUUAACACACAAUGAUUUGACAUCAUGCAGCUAGUGACAGAGGCAGGUUAUUAGUCACGUACAAAUUGUGAAGGCCAAUCUUCAUUGUACAUAAAAAAUUACUAGUAUACAUAGCAUAUGGAAAUGCAUUCAGAAUUUACCUCAAGGUGAUCAUUGACCCUUUAGUAAUAGUUUUGUUACCUUUUCUUUGAGGGGUUCAGGUUACAUACUUAAACUAUAUGAGCCUAAUAUGAGCGUCUUAGUGUAUGGUAGAAAGUAAGUGUUACCAUUUGCUUUGAUUGCUUCCAAUGUUGAACAUAUCAAAUGGGAGAAAGAUACACAUUUUGUACAGCUUGCGGUGCGAAAUCUGUUGGAGCAGCACGAACCUGCACCAAUUGUUGGCGUCCCUUCUCCACCUCCUCAUGAGAUCCUGGUCCAAGCAUGAGUAAAAUAUAUCAGAGUACAAAUAGACUUUUAGUUUGUGAUUGUAAACAUAAUUUAAAUAUUAGUUACACACCAGUUGUGGUAAAGGGCCUAAUUAAUUUAUUCAACACAUCAUGCUAGUUAACAUGGUAAUUCGUCUUUGGGUAAAAAUAAAUGAGUCAGGACAAAAUCACUGCCUAUGCAGUAUAUAUAGACAGCCAGAAAGACCUAAAUAUGAAAUCGUUACAAAACGAUGGAGAGACAUGCUUACAGUUUUUCUGAAGCUACAAACUUUUCACACAGCAAGGUAUAUAUGCAGUGACCAUGACUAGUCACAACAAUUCUUUAAUUGGGGUGUGUACAAUUUGCAAAAGACAUGCAGCUAACGUAAUUCAAAAAGCAUUGUGCACGCACCUUUUAUUGUUUCAUAACAUGAAAAGGGUGGGAAAACGCCAAUUUUGGAACAAAAUUAAGGACUGCUUCGGAACCACACACCAUUAGUCAGGAUUACAAUCUCGUAUAUUCUGGAAAGUAGCUUAAUUAGCUUAUUAUGCUUUCAGUAAGUGGCUGCUCUGAAAUCCAAAUAAUGAAACCGCAGAGGAACGAUAUACAUGCUGUUAGAAACAAAUGUUCAGAAUAUUGCUCCCAUAAUAAUGAUUGUAGGAACAUUCUAUGUGAAUGUUCCAUUUUAUAUUGAAACCUCAUCAAUCAGUCUGAUGUAAACAUGAAACUGUACAUAUCAAGUACUCAUUGCUAUUAGCAUAACUUGCACAUUGUCAGUAGGAUUGUAGUCUGACUACCAAAUAAACCAAGUAAAAGUUAUGCACAGCGUUACACAUUGUUUCAAGAAAGUUGGGAAGCUGAUGUGCUAAACAUCACAUUAUGGAACAUUAUGUAAUGUCUCAGCAUCAUAGCUUAUAUCAAUGCUGAAACUCAGAUAUAUAAAAUAUAACAGGAAGUUAACUAGAGUUCUGGUGGGUAUACGUACGAAAUGACAUAAAGUUCUCAAAUCCUGUAUGUGCAAAAAUCAACUAAUUAAUUACUUCGACUAGCAUGGACUGAGAUGGAAAAUCAGCUGUAAAUUGAGCUAUUAAUCACCUCCCUAUCAGGCCACCGUACAACGGCAUGGUAGCCUUGUUGCUCCCUAUCUACUUUAAACUGUCGUCGCUGGACUUCCUAUUUCGCUGCAACAACCAUCAUGGUGUUAAAGCUUUCAUUAGCCUUAUUGGAAGAAGAGAAGAUUGAAAAGUUGGAGUCUUCUAAUAUUUGUUUCUAAUAGCAAAAUCACAGCAGGCACUUAAGCCCAAACAGUGGCAAAUCCUAACACCACCAGAACAACAAUGGUUCCUGAUGUGCCACGAACUAGAGCAGAGAGGAGUGGACCAACUCACCUGAAGCCAUAGCAGGACGAGGAGGAGGAAGCUCCAUGGCUGCUUUGUCCUGAGCAGCAGCAAGGCUGUCCACUAGCGAUUCCUCCAUGCACGUCUACAGGAGAAGAGAAGAUAGGGAGCAACGAGGAGAGAGAGAUAGACGAAGCAAGGGAGGGGAUACACUCACCGGACAAGAGGAGGAUGACAUGGCCACCGGCGCCGGAGCCGACGCCUGAAACCCUAGCCAUGGGGGGAGGGUCGCGGGUGGGCUCUGGUGGCUGCGAGCGCCGGAUCUAGCCGGAUGGGAAAGCACCGCGGUGCCAGGGGACCUUGGGCUGUGCUUCACGGUCAUGGGAUUCUCCGGACGUCGCCUGAAUCAGCCUGCAGGUGGCGCAGCGAGGAGCUGUUUGAAGAGUGAGAGAUGGGACGCGAGAGGGAUGGGCGCAUGGGGGAUGUGGUUGAUCCGGCAGCCUCCGGAGCUGCAAGGUGGGAGGAGGCGAGAGGGAGGGUCGGCGGCGAGGUGGGUCGGAGGAGGGAGAUGAGGCGAUGGGUGGCGGCGGUUUGGUAGAGAUGAGGGGAAUCGAGGGCUCUGUUUCUGACGCGUCUCUCUCUCCUUUCCUUUGUUUUUUU
rnacentral:lncRNA from 1 species